GAUGAAGAACGCAGCGAAAUGCGAUAAGUAAUGUGAAUUGCAGAAUUCAGUGAAUCAUCGAAUCUUUGAACGCACAUUGCGCCCCCUGGUAUUCCGGGGGGCAGGCCUGUCCGAGCGUCAUUACAACCCUCAAGCUCAGCUUGGUGUUGGGCCCCGCCGCCCCGGCGGGCCCUAAAGUCAGUGGCGGUGCCGUCCGGCUCCGAGCGUAGUAAUUCUUCUCGCUCUGGAGGUCCGGUCGUGUGCUCGCCAGCAACCCCCAAUUUUUUUCAGGUUGACCUCGGAUCAGGUAGGGAUACCCGCUGAACUUAAGCAUAUCAAUAAGCGGAGGA
rnacentral:misc_RNA from 1 species